GGCCGGCUGGCCCAAUGGCAAGGCGCUUGACUACGAUUUACAUAAUCAAGAGAUUGCAGGUUCGAUCCCUGCGUCGGUCA
rnacentral:tRNA from 1 species